UUUUUUCGUGCGACCAUAGGCAGCCCAAAAAUUGUUGUAGAAUGUUCUAAAUGUCGAUCGGUGUUAAAACUCGCCCUAUUCCUCUUAACUUUGUCGCGCGCCGCAAGCGCCGCCAUAUUGAAAAGCAAUUGAUAAUAUAUAAUAACAUAAGGUUGGCAACUAUAUAUACUGGAUUACGAACAUACCACUCGAACAAAAAGCAAAACACUUUGUUGUAGAAGUAAAACACAAUAAAAAAU